rnacentral:rRNA from 1 species
GACGAACGCUGGCGGCGUGCUUAACACAUGCAAGUCGAACGGAAAGGCCCUGCUUUUGUGGGGUGCUCGAGUGGCGAACGGGUGAGUAACACGUGAGUAACCUGCACUUGUCUUUGGGAUAACUUCAGGAAACUGGGGCUAAUACCGGAUAGGAGAUCCUGCAGCACGGGGGGGGUUAGAGAGUUUCGGCGGUUGGGGAUGGACUCGCGGCUUAUCAGCUUGCUGGUGGGGUAGUGGCUUACCAAGGCUUUGACGGGUAGCCGGCCUGAGAGGGUGACCGGCCACAUUGGGACUGAGGUACGGCCCAGACUCCUACGGGAGGCAGCAGUGGGGAAUAUUGCACAAUGGGCGGAAGCCUGAUGCAGCAACGCCGCGUGCGGGAUGACGGCCUUCGGGUUGUAAACCGCUUUCGCCUGUGACGAAGCGUGAGUGACGGUAAUGGGUAAAGAAGCACCGGCUAACUACGUG